CUGAAUGGCCAUGCCACCCUGAACGUGCCUGAUCUCGUCUGAUCUCGGAAGCUAAGCAGGGUCGGGCCUGGUUAGUACUUGGAUGGGAGACCCCCUCGGAAUACCAGGUGCUGUAAGUG
rnacentral:rRNA from 1 species